rnacentral:tRNA from 1 species
GCCGAAGUGGCGGAACUGGUAGACGCGCUGGGUUCAGGGUCCAGUGGGGGUUUCCCCGUCGGGGUUCAAAUCCCCGCUUCGGCACCA